GGUGCAACAAAGCAACCCAGUGCCGUGUGCUGGCAGCAGGCUCGGAGGGCUCCCAGGGUCCUGCUCUGGAGCUGUUUCUGAAGAGAAGAAGACAAGAUGCAGAACAGCUCCAUCACACUCAGGCUGCACAGCUUACGGCUUCCCUUUUCCAGCACCUGGAAAUACGGGAUCCUGGCGUUAGCCAUCCUCUUGCUCCUGGGGGCCCUGACCAUUCUGGCUUACCAGAUGUGCCAGCUUCAGAAGCACAGCAGGACUGGGAAAAAGAAGAAAUACAGCAGUGGAGACGGGGUGAAGAUGAGGGCAGAGAAUGGCCUGCGGGGGAAGAAGAUGCCGCCUUUUCUGCUUGACAGCAGCCAGCAGAGUGACACGGAUAUGGAGGCACGUACGUCAGCGCUGGGCAAGGCUGAGAGCCACACGAAUUCUGGUGCUGAGAGAAGUGAAAAACCUGCAGUGCAAUUUUUGGGAAAGCCGGUGACUAACUCCAUCUCAAGUUUCACUCUACUUGCUCCUCCUUCAUGCAGCAUUUGUUCAGUCUGAGGGAAGGAGCAACGGCAAGUUUCUCUCCUUUCCCUCCCCCCCCAAUCCCAGCCCGUGUCUGUUACUGGAGGGAUGUGGUUUCCCAUAACGCGAAUUCCUCGAGUUCCUGCUGCCCUCCCCACAGCAGCGCAGGAAGCCACGAGGCAGGCGGUGGGCUCAGCGAUGGCCCCAAAAUACCACCAGCAGCUGCUGAGCCCGAACUGGCUGCUGGAGGGCUGCAGCUGCUGAGAGAACAGUGAAGCGAGAGGGGAAGGAGGUUGAAAGAGCAGCUGUCCUGCCCCAGCAAGGGCACUAUAGAGUCAUAGAAUGGCUUAGGUUGGAGGGGACCUUAAAUAUCAUCUAGUUCCAACCCCCAUGCUGUGGGCCAGCUUGCCAACCACUACAUACCAACACACCUUCCUGCCACUGUAGGAAAAGGAGGACAAUUCAGCAUGCUGUGCUUUCAAAGGCCCAUCUGUCUCCUUUCUUCUCACCCUUGUUUUCCAUAGAUGGCAGAGCUGGGAGCGGGGCCGGCCGUACCCUAUCCCUGCCUCUCCUGCAGCAUCACUGAAGACCCAAGCAGUGACCUGAGCCCGCUGCCCAGCUCCCAGAGCAGUCUGAAGUUCUCCCUCCGGUACCGCAGGGAGCAAUGCGAAUUGCUGGUGAGCUGCCUGGAGGUGCGGGGCCUGCCCAGCCGCAGGCACGCCGAGGUGGCUGUCUGGCUCCGACUGCUGCGGCGGGUCCCAUCCCACACCCCUGGGCUCCAGUGUGUGGUCCAGGAGUGGCAGAGCCGGGCGGUGAAGAACUGCAGCGGGAUGGCCUUCGGGGAGCACUUCGUCUGCUCCCUGCAGGAUGCUGAGAUGGAGACGAGCACCCUGAAGAUGGAGGUGGGACGGGGUCCUAGCUUUGCUUGUAGGCAUAGAACGCUGCCCUCACCACUCUUGAGGUGUUCCCAUCUCUUGCCCCUCUGAGGGAACGCAAAGCAGGUGGGUGGUUCUGGGCUCACUCACCAGGUCCUCUUGAGUGGCUACAAAGAGCUGAGAUGUUGGCAACAGAGGAACCAAGCUCAUGGAAUAUCCCAAGUUGGAAGGGACCCACAAGAACCAUCGAGUCCAACUCCUGGAUCCACACAGGACAAAUCAAAACCCAAACCCUAUGUCUGAGAGUGUUGUCCCAGUGGUUCUUGAACUCCGGCAGCUUGGUGCUGUGCCUGCUGCCAUGGGGAGCCUGCUCUGUGCCCACCACCUUCUGGUGAAGAAUCUUUUUCUAACCCCCAGCCUAGCCUUUCUCUGUUGCUCAAAUCCCAAAAGCCAAGAGAUGCAUGGGAGCGGGCCUCCAGAGCAGGCAGCUGCCCUUGGAGGAUGCACAGUCCAUAGGGAUGCUCUCGAGGCACAGCCGUGUCCUGCACUUUGCCCCAGGGACACGCUUUUUGCCUCUCUCCCAUAGGUCCAACAUUUUGACAAAUACUCCAGGAAUGCUGCACUGGGGGAAGUCAGGGUUGCCCUGAGCCAGCUGAAGGCUUCCCAGAGCCUGGUUUUGUGUGCAGAACUGCAGGAGACCACAAAGGAUAUCGUGGGAGAGGUGCUGCUGUCGCUGAGGUGCCUGCCCAUCUCCCAGAAGAUGGAGGUCGGGCUGCUCAAGGCGAAAACAACCCCCCCUCGCAGCGCUGCAGAGAAGAGCGUAUACGCGAGGAUAGAUGUUUCCUGCAGACGCCACAGGCAGAAGCACCAGAAAUCCAGGCCGCAGGCACACACUUCGCUCAUCAUUUUCAACGAGACCUUCCUGUUCCCCAUGCCCCGGGCUGCAGCGUGGG